rnacentral:rRNA from 1 species
CCUACGGGAGGCAGCAGUGGGGAAUAUUGGACAAUGGGCGAAAGCCUGAUCCAGCCAUGCCGCGUGUGUGAAGAAGGCCUUCGGGUUGUAAAGCACUUUCAGUGGGGAAGAAAGCCUUGGGGCUAAUACCCUCGAGGAAGGACAUCACCCACAGAAGAAGCACCGGCUAACUCCGGGCCAGCAGCCGCGGUAAUACGGAGGGUGCGAGCGUUAAUCGGAAUUACUGGGCGUAAAGCGCGCGUAGGCGGUCUGAUAAGCCGGUUGUGAAAGCCCCGGGCUCAACCUGGGAACGGCAUCCGGAACUGUCAGGCUAGAGUGCAGGAGAGGAAGGUAGAAUUCCCGGUGUAGCGGUGAAAUGCGUAGAGAUCGGGAGGAAUACCAGUGGCGAAGGCGGCCUUCUGGACUGACACUGACGCUGAGGUGCGAAAGCGUGGGUAGCAAACAGGAUUAGAUACCCUAGUAGUC